GCCAGCGUGACUCAGUUGAUAAGACUGAUAACCAAGACCGCACACAUUAGAGAUGUGUGGGUUCGAAUCUCACUGCUGGCA
rnacentral:tRNA from 1 species